GAGAAAGCUUUGACUAGAACGAGUAGAUUAUUAGUUUAUUAUCAGAGAGUCCUUGGUUGGUGAGAAAGGAUAUAAACGGUAGUUGAACACAUCUAGGAGCUAUCUUCCUGAACUAUUUUUUAAACAGUAAAGUAAGGAAGUUCGUCAUUUGCACGUUAUCGCAAACGGUCUUGUUGGAGACUUGCUGAGGUUAUCACUGUGAAGUGGUAACGUGUUUGAGGUGGAACCGCGUCUAUUUGUCGCCCUCUUA
rnacentral:ncRNA from 1 species